AUAGUAUUAACAGGUGGUAAGCAAUGUGCGAGGUAGAUUACAUUGACAUGAAAGGUUGAGGAUUUUCAAAUGAUUUUGGAAAGGUUACGUGCCCAACAACCCUCUAAGAAAGGAACAUUUUCAUUGAUGAACAAACAAUAAUGUCUCGGACUGAUUAUCGAAGCACAUCAUUGUUAGAUGAUGCAAAAGGCCAAGUUCUACUCUGGUUAUGUCAGUUUUAAAGCACUUCAACAACCUGCUCCAGUGGAUGUUUCAAGUCCAAAGAAAAUUGAGGUAGAUAAGAAGAAAGAAGCAUGUGUUAGUACGACAAAUACACGACGUACUUUAAAAGUUAUUGAACAUGGGAAAACACGUAUGUUGUUUCAUUUUAUGUAAUACACAUGUGUUUGCUUUUAACUUUGUGAGCAAUUAUUAGUUUUUCCAAUUUUUCGUAAGAGAUAUUUUAAUUUUAACAUGAAUAUAUUUACAUCAUCGAGAUGCGUUAGAAACGCGUUAAAUUUCAUCACCUUGUUAGUUAUUCAGAGAUGAAAUGUAAUGUGGAGUUACGACAGUCAUUACUUACAUCACUUCUUGAACUUUAGCCACUAUGCCAUAUGGAACAUCAAAAUACUGGACGCUGAUUGGCCGAGUGACUUUGGCUGUGUUCUAAUUCUAGAUAUCUGUAGAUAUGACGUCAUUACUACGAAAA